rnacentral:rRNA from 1 species
GAUGAACGCUAGCUACAGGCUUAACACGUGCAAGUCGAGGGGUAACGAGAGGAAAGCUUGCUUUCCUUGUCGACGACCGGCGCACGGGUGAGUAACGCGUAUCCAACCUGCCCCCAACUAGGGAAUAACCUUGCGAAAGUAAGACUAAUACCCUAUAAUUUCCUCAGAUGACAUCUGACGAGGAAUAAAGAUUUAUCGGUUGUGGAUGGGGAUGCGUCUGAUUAGCUUGUUGGCGGGGUAACGGCCCACCAAGGCAACGAUCAGUAGGGGUUUUGGGAGGAAGGUACCCCACAUUGGAACUGAGACACGGUCCAACCUCCUACGGGAGGCAGCAGUGAGGAAUAUUGGUCAAUGGGCGGAAGCCUGAACCAGCCAAGUAGCGUGCAGGAUGACGGCCCUAUGGGUUGUAAACUGCUUUUAUACAGGAAUAAAGUUAGCCACGUGUGGUUAUUUGUAGGUACUGUAUGAAUAAGGACCGGCUAAUUCCGUGCCAGCCGCCGCGGUAA